UACAGAGGAGCCAAGCGUUGUCCGGAUUGACUGGGCGUAAAGCGCACGUAGGCGGACUGUUAAGUCGGGGGUGAAAUCCUGGGGCUCAACCUCAGAAUUGCCUCCGAUACUGGCAGUCUCGAGUGCGGGAGAGGUGAGUGGAAUUCCCAGUGUAGAGGUGAAAUGCGCAGAUAUCGGGAGGAACACCAAUGGCGAAGGCAGCUCGCUGGGACGUGACUGACGCUGAGACGCGAAAGCGUGGGAGCGAACGGG
rnacentral:rRNA from 1 species